rnacentral:lncRNA from 1 species
GGAAAAGCUGUGAACUCUGAAAUUGCAGAAUCUGUUCAUCACUGUGGGAAGUAUGUUCCUGGAAUUUAAGGUUUCUUAGGAGACAGACUGGAUGAGAGCAACUGCCCUAAAAUCCAGUCCCAAGAGAGAGGCAAGAAGAAGAAAACAGUUCAGUGGGGCUUGAAAACUUACGUUUUUUCUUGUAAAAAGGAGAAGAUAUCCAAAAGAGACCUCAUGGUUUUUGCUCUUUCUAUUCUGAUUUACUUUGAAGAUGAAUCAGGUGCAGUGUGUUUGCAACAUGUAAAUUGUACUUCAAACAGAUCCACUCUCCUUUCUAAGACUGAAAUGAAGCUCCCAGUUUGCAAACUGUCUUAUAUGCACAGUAAAUUCUUACUAAAUAUUACCUAUUGAUUUGAUGGUGUUAAUUUUGCUCAUUCUGAAUUUUUGACAGUUCACGGCAUCAGAAGUGGAAUCUGAAGAACCUCAAGGUCUCUGAGGCCAGUGAGGAACCAGGUCCUGGGGCCCUCAGAGCCCUGUGAGCGCACUGCUUUCUCAGUGACUUUAGAGUUUGAGACCACUCACACAUCAAAUGAUGUCCAUCAGGAUUAGACAACUUAAAGAAGUUAAUUCUCUGACCACCCAUGUCCAUGAUGACGAUGCAACCGUUGAUAACAGUCACCAUGUGACCAUCCCUCCUGACUACUCAACUAGCAGAAUCAACAAGGAUGUGAGUCUUCAUCCUGGCUUCAUCAACAGUGGUAACCCAGCCUAACAGUAUAAUAUUUGGUCACACUCUCAGCUUGCUGAGACAAUAGCCAAAAGAAGGCAAUUGUUAAAAGUAAGUGCAAAAUGGAUACAACAAUUGAGAAUUCCCUGAGCAGACAAUACCUUUUAAGCCACAUAAGCAAGACUAAGUCUAGCUUAUUUCAUGAAUGUAAGUGAAGCUUAACUUAGGUUAUUUUUUGUAAGUCCUUCUGAAAAUCAUAAAAGAAACUUAAAUCAUCUUCCUAAGAAUGAUAUAACAUAAUCAUUUUUAACCUAUCUCCUGCCAUCUCGAAACAUCCAUUGUAAUAACCAAUCAUUGUAAAGAUUAAUGACUUCCCAAUUUUCACUUUAUAAGCCAUCCUAUAAUUUCAUGCUCCUGAGCUUCAUAUCACUCUGAAUUUGGAAUCGCCCAGUUUGUGAACUGUCUUAUAUGCACAAUAAACUCUUACUAAUACUAUUUAUUGAUUUGGUAGUUUUCAUUUUGCUAUUUCUGAUUUCGAC